CGCAUCAAAUAGGUCCCGUUCCGUUCCGCCCACCCCCGCGCAACCCGCCUCCCUCCCCGCGCCUCCGCCCGUCCCGCCCCCCAUGGCGGCCACCCCGCCGUCGUCGCGGGACCCGUCGCCGCAGCCCCGCCGUCCCGCCGCCGCCGCUGGCCGGCCCGCCGCCAGCGGCACCGGCGCCGGCGCCAGCGGCAACGGCAAGCGCGGCGGCCUCCUGCUCGGCCGCUACGAGCUGGGCCGCGUCCUCGGCCACGGCACCUUCGCCAAGGUCUACCACGCGCGCCACGCCGACACGGGCGAGACGGUCGCCAUCAAGGUGCUGGACAAGGAGAAGGCGCUGCGUGCCGGCCUCGUCCCGCACAUCAAGCGCGAGAUCACCAUCCUCCGCCGCGUCCGCCACCCCAACAUCGUGCGCCUCUUCGAGGUCAUGGCCACCAAGUCCAAGAUCUACUUCGUCAUGGAGUUCGUCCGCGGCGGCGAGCUCUUCGCGCGCGUCGCCAAGGGCCGCCUCAAGGAGGACACGGCCCGCCGCUACUUCCAGCAGCUCAUCUCCGCCGUCGGCUUCUGCCACGCGCGCGGCGUCUUCCACCGCGACCUCAAGCCCGAGAACCUCCUCGUCGACGAGCGCGGGGACCUCAAGGUCUCCGACUUCGGCCUCUCCGCCGUCGCCGACCAGUUCCACCCCGACGGCCUCCUCCACACCUUCUGCGGCACCCCCUCCUACGUCGCGCCCGAGAUGCUCGCGCGCCGCGGAUACGACGGCGCCAAGGCCGACAUAUGGUCCUGCGGGGUCAUCCUCUUCGUCCUCAUGGCCGGCUACCUCCCUUUCCAUGAUCAGAACCUCAUGGCCAUGUACCGCAAGAUUUACAGAGGGGAAUUCCGCUGCCCGAGGUGGUUCUCCAGAGAUCUCACCAGCCUGUUGAAUCGCCUUCUCGACACCAACCCGGAGACAAGGAUCACCAUGGCCGAAGUCAUGCAGAGCAGGUGGUUUCAGAAGGGAUUUCGGCCUGUCAGGUUCUAUGUUGAGGACGAUCAGCUGCACAGCUUAGGGGACGGUGAGAGUGAGGAGCUGGGUCUCGUCGAACCUACCGAGCCGCCGCCUCCUCCUCCUCUUCCGCCACCGCUGCCACCACCACCGCAGCAAGAGGAUGAUGACUCAGGGUGGGAGUCGGAUUCCUCCGUCGCAUCCUGCCCUGCCACGCUGUCGUCCGAGGAGCGGCAGCGGCCUGCCGGGCGUCUCACACGGCCAGCAAGCCUCAACGCUUUCGAUAUCAUAUCCUUCUCCAAGGGAUUUGAUCUAUCAGGGCUGUUCGAGGAGCGAGGGAGCGAAGUGAGAUUCAUCUCAGCACAGCCCAUGGAAACCAUUGUUACAAAAUUGGAGGAGAUUGCCAAGAUGAAGAGCUUCUCCAUUCGGCGCAAGGACUGGCGCGUAAGCAUAGAAGGCACCAGGGAAGGGGAGAAGGGGCCAUUGACGAUUGGGGCUGAGAUAUUUGAGCUUACACCAAGCCUCUUGGUGUUGGAGGUGAAGAAGAAGGCUGGGGAUAAGGCAGAGUAUGAUGACUUCUGCAACAAGGAGUUGAAACCUGGGAUGGAGCCUCUCGUGCACCACCAACAGGGCUCGGCUCGAAAUGUACCUUCUGAUACGGAGUAGUUCUAAAGAAACCGAGCAGAAGCGAAGGGUUGCAAACAAUUCAAUUCCUGUUCCUGCAAGGUCACAAACAUAUGUUACAUAUCAGUGUUAUUCAGAAAGAGGUGCGGUAAGUUACUUGCAUAUUCUAAUAAUCGUCUAUUAAUUCCAAACCUGUUGGUCCAGAAAAAGGAAAGACAAACUGAAGUUUAGUGCAUAUCCUUUUCUGCGUCAAACAUUGCAAAUGAAGAGGACCAAUGGUUCUGUGCUCCUGUAUAGUCGUGUAUGCGAGAAUAGGUAAGACACUUAGCAUGUACCAUGAUUCUGGAGUUGGAUGGGACGAUAGGGCAGGAGGGGCUGCGAGGAAUGUGUCAAGGUUGGAGGAUGGUCAAUGUAGGCCACUGGGGCUUAAGAUUGGACACUGUUAUAUGAAUAAAGUUAGAGCAGGCAUCACACUGAAUAAGGUGAAGUUUAGGGGUCAGGAUAUAAGCAUUUACUAAAUAUUUUAUGUUGCAUAUGCCUAUUCCUAAUCUAUUCCAUGUACAUCAGAGGUUGAUAUGUUAUUUCAGAGAGGUACAAUUAAGUACAGUAGCUUCCAAGCAACUGGACACUUGAUAAGUUUUCUUAUGUAAUCAUAUGAAAUUUGAUAACAUAACUUAAUUGUUAUAAUAAUAUAACUAAUAUAAGAACAGUAUGGCGUGACAAAUUACAAAGGGAUAAUAGCUCAACCAGGCCAAGAAUUGUGACAAAAGAUCUAUUUUUAGCUGAAUGCAUACAGUUGUCACACUGAAUAAGGUAAAGUUGGCCAGGUUAGGGGUCAGGGAUAUAAACAUUUACUGAAUUAUUUGUGUUACAUAUGUCUAUGCCAAUCUACUCCAUGUACAUCAAAGGUUGAUAUGUUGUUUCAGAGGAGGUGCAAUAAGCACCUUCCAACACUGGGGUAAUAGGAGCUCAAUCAUACCAGUAACUGUGAUGAUGAAUGGUAGCUGAAUGCAGUGAAAAAAAAGAUGGCAUGGUUAAUUUCUGAUCUUCGAUUAUGGAUGUGUUCUUAUCCAGUUUUGAAGAUGUACAUACCGGCAAACUGAUCGUGUGAAUACCUACUAUGCCACCUUUUCUUGUUUAUUAAUUCACUCCAUCAAAUAAAUUUACAAGUAGAUUGAUU
rnacentral:rRNA from 1 species